rnacentral:rRNA from 1 species
CCUACGGGUGGCAGCAGUGGGGAAUCUUCCGCAAUGGGCGAAAGCCUGACGGAGCAACGCCGCGUGAGCGAAGAAGGCUUUCGGGUCGUAAAGCUCUGUCCUAAGGGAAGAUAGUGACGGUACCUUAGGAGGAAGCCCCGGCUAACUACGUGCCAGCAGCCGCGGUAAUACGUAGGGGGCGAGCGUUAUCCGGAAUUAUUGGGCGUAAAGCGUGCGUAGGCGGCUUUUUAAGUCGGAUGUGAAAUCCCU